UUAAGCGACUAAGCGUACACGGUGGAUGCCCUGGCAGUCAGAGGCGAUGAAGGACGUGCUAAUCUGCGAAAAGCGUCGGUAAGGUGAUAUGAACCGUUACAGCCGGCGAUGUCCGAAUGGGGAAACCCAGUGCAAUUCGUUGCACUAUCGUUAACUGAAUACAUAGGUUAACGAGGCGAACCGGGGGAACUGAAACAUCUAAGUACCCCGAGGAAAAGAAAUCAACCGAGAUUCCCCCAGUAGCGGCGAGCGAACGGGGAGCAGCCCAGAGUCUGAAUCAGCUUGUGUGUUAGUGGAACGGUCUGGAAAGUCCGACGGUACAGGGUGAUAGUCCCGUACACCAAAAUGCACAGGCUGUGAACUCGAAGAGUAGGGCGGGACACGUGGUAUCCUGUCUGAAUAUGGGGGGACCAUCCUCCAAGGCUAAAUACUCCUGACUGACCGAUAGUGAACCAGUACCGUGAGGGAAAGGCGAAAAGAACCCCGGCGAGGGGAGUGAAAAAGAACCUGAAACCGUGUACGUACAAGCAGUGGGAGCACCUUCGGGUGUGACUGCGUACCUUUUGUAUAAUGGGUCAGCGACUUAUAUUCUGUAGCAAGGUUAACCGUAUAGGGGAGCCGCAGGGAAACCGAGUCUUAACUGGGCGUUAAGUUGCAGGGUAUAGACCCGAAACCCGGUGAUCUAGCCAUGGGCAGGUUGAAGGUUGGGUAACACUAACUGGAGGACCGAACCGACUAAUGUUGAAAAAUUAGCGGAUGACUUGUGGCUGGGGGUGAAAGGCCAAUCAAACCGGGAGAUAGCUGGUUCUCCCCGAAAGCUAUUUAGGUAGCGCCUCGUGAACUCAUCUUCGGGGGUAGAGCACUGUUUCGGCUAGGGGGUCAUCCCGACUUACCAACCCGAUGCAAACUACGAAUACCGAAGAAUGUUAUCACGGGAGACACACGGCGGGUGCUAACGUCCGUCGUGAAGAGGGAAACAACCCAGACCGCCAGCUAAGGUCCCAAAGUCAUGGUUAAGUGGGAAACGAUGUGGGAAGGCACAGACAGCCAGGAUGUUGGCUUAGAAGCAGCCAUCAUUUAAAGAAAGCGUAAUAGCUCACUGGUCGAGUCGGCCUGCGCGGAAGAUGUAACGGGGCUAAACCAUGCACCGAAGCUGCGGCAGCGACACUAUGUGUUGUUGGGUAGGGGAGCGUUCUGUAAGCCUGCGAAGGUGUGCUGUGAGGCAUGCUGGAGGUAUCAGAAGUGCGAAUGCUGACAUAAGUAACGAUAAAGCGGGUGAAAAGCCCGCUCGCCGGAAGACCAAGGGUUCCUGUCCAACGUUAAUCGGGGCAGGGUGAGUCGACCCCUAAGGCGAGGCCGAAAGGCGUAGUCGAUGGGAAACAGGUUAAUAUUCCUGUACUUGGUGUUACUGCGAAGGGGGGACGGAGAAGGCUAUGUUAGCCGGGCGACGGUUGUCCCGGUUUAAGCAUGUAGGCUGAUUGUCCAGGCAAAUCCGGAUAAUCAAGGCUGAGGUGUGAUGACGAGGCACUACGGUGCUGAAGUAACAAAUGCCCUGCUUCCAGGAAAAGCCUCUAAGCAUCAGGUAACAUCAAAUCGUACCCCAAACCGACACAGGUGGUCAGGUAGAGAAUACCAAGGCGCUUGAGAGAACUCGGGUGAAGGAACUAGGCAAAAUGGUGCCGUAACUUCGGGAGAAGGCACGCUGGUGUGUAGGUGAAGUCCCUGCGGAUGGAGCUGAGACCAGUCGAAGAUACCAGCUGGCUGCAACUGUUUAUUAAAAACACAGCACUGUGCAAACACGAAAGUGGACGUAUACGGUGUGACGCCUGCCCGGUGCCGGAAGGUUAAUUGAUGGGGUUAUCCGUAAGGAGAAGCUCUUGAUCGAAGCCCCGGUAAACGGCGGCCGUAACUAUAACGGUCCUAAGGUAGCGAAAUUCCUUGUCGGGUAAGUUCCGACCUGCACGAAUGGCGUAAUGAUGGCCAGGCUGUCUCCACCCGAGACUCAGUGAAAUUGAACUCGCUGUGAAGAUGCAGUGUACCCGCGGCAAGACGGAAAGACCCCGUGAACCUUUACUAUAGCUUGACACUGAACAUUGAGCCUUGAUGUGUAGGAUAGGUGGGAGGCUUUGAAGCGUGGACGCCAGUCUGCGUGGAGCCAACCUUGAAAUACCACCCUUUAAUGUUUGAUGUUCUAACGUUGGCCCCUGACCGGGGUUGCGGACAGUGUCUGGUGGGUAGUUUGACUGGGGCGGUCUCCUCCCAAAGCGUAACGGAGGAGCACGAAGGUUAGCUAAUCCUGGUCGGACAUCAGGAGGUUAGUGCAAUGGCAUAAGCUAGCUUGACUGCGAGCGUGACGGCGCGAGCAGGUGCGAAAGCAGGUCAUAGUGAUCCGGUGGUUCUGAAUGGAAGGGCCAUCGCUCAACGGAUAAAAGGUACUCCGGGGAUAACAGGCUGAUACCGCCCAAGAGUUCAUAUCGACGGCGGUGUUUGGCACCUCGAUGUCGGCUCAUCACAUCCUGGGGCUGAAGUAGGUCCCAAGGGUAUGGCUGUUCGCCAUUUAAAGUGGUACGCGAGCUGGGUUUAGAACGUCGUGAGACAGUUCGGUCCCUAUCUGCCGUGGGCGCUGGAGAAUUGAGGGGGGCUGCUCCUAGUACGAGAGGACCGGAGUGGACGCAUCACUGGUGUUCGGGUUGUCAUGCCAAUGGCACUGCCCGGUAGCUAAAUGCGGAAGAGAUAAGUGCUGAAAGCAUCUAAGCACGAAACUUGCCCCGAGAUGAGUUCUCCCUGAGACUAUAAGUCUCCUGAAGGAACGUUAAAGACGAUGACGUUGAUAGGCCGGGUGUGUAAGCGCAGCGAUGCGUUGAGCUAACCGGUACUAAUGAACCGUGAGGCUUAACCUU
rnacentral:rRNA from 1 species